UACGAAGGGGGCUAGCGUUGUUCGGAAUUACUGGGCGUAAAGCGCGCGCAGGCGGUCUUCCAAGUCAGUGGUGAAAGCCCGGAGCUCAACUCCGGAAUUGCCAUUGAAACUGUGAGACUGGAGUACGAGAGAGGUGAGUGGAAUUCCCAGUGUAGAGGUGAAAUUUGUAGAUAUUGGGAAGAACACCGGUGGCGAAGGCGGCUCACUGGCUCGUAACUGACGCUCAGGCGCGACAGCGUGGGGAUCAAACGGG
rnacentral:rRNA from 1 species